UACGAAGGGGGCUAGCGUUGCUCGGAAUCACUGGGCGUAAAGGGUGCGUAGGCGGGUCUUUAAGUCAGGGGUGAAAUCCUGGAGCUCAACUCCAGAACUGCCUUUGAUACUGAAGAUCUUGAGUUCGGGAGAGGUGAGUGGAACUGCGAGUGUAGAGGUGAAAUUCGUAGAUAUUCGCAAGAACACCCGUGGCGAAGGCGGUUCUACUGGGACGGUACUGACGCUGAGACGCGAAAGCGUGGGGAGCGAACAGG
rnacentral:rRNA from 1 species